rnacentral:rRNA from 1 species
AGUGAACGCUGGCGGUAGGCCUAAUACAUGCAAGUCGAACGGCCGCACAGUAAGAGCUUGCUCCUACGGUUGGCGACUGUCGGACGGGUGAGGCAUAGAUAGGCAUCUACUUUUUCGUGGGGGAUAACGUAGGGAAAGUGCCGAUAAUACCUCAUACGACCUACGGGUUGAAUCAGGGGAUCUUCAGACCUUUCGCGUUUCAUUGAGCCGAAGUCGGAUUAGCUAGUUGGGGGGGUAAAGGCACACCAAGGCGACGAUACGUAGCUGAUCUGAGAGGAUGAUCAGCCACACUGGAACUGAGACACGGUCCAGACUCCUACGGGAGGCAGCAGUAGGGAAUAUUCCGCAAUGGGCGAAAGCCUGAUGGAGCCACGCCGCGUGAGUGAUGAAGGUCUUCGGAUCGUAAAACUCUGUUAUUAGGGAAGAAAAAAUGUGUAAGUAACCAUGCACGUCUUGACGGUACCCAAUCAGAAAGCACCGGCUAACUACGUG